CGUGAAAUUAUUAAUUUCGGCCAGAAAAUAAACAGAAUGUCAGCCCAUUCUCACCUUCUUCUUCUUCUUGCGUCGUCGGUCUUCUUCGUGCCUUGCUUACACGGCGAUUUCAGAACCAUGUGUGUAACGCUUUUGGUCCUCAUUGAAUCCAUUCAUAACGCCUCUGCAUUAACUAUCUCCGUUCAACUCUGCUACUAAGUCGACUUUAAUGACCCCUUUCUCAACUUCCAUCUCAAAGCCCUAAUUCCUGAAACUAUAAAUAGAGAUGAAAACCGCACGAGAUUCAAUCAUAUUCCUUCCUUACAAUCACAGCCUGCAAGGAUGGUGUCAUCCCAUAUACUUAUUUCUGAUUUAAAGUUUGGCCGUUGUCUCAGACGGUGGUGACGCCUCUCCAGCGUUUUUGGGGAGCACACAAUGUCAAGAAAGGAGGAGAGCUGAUGAGAGUCAACAUGUUCUUGAUGAAAAGUCAUCGCUUCUUCCAGGAUCUAUUUAUGUACAUCGGCUACAUGCAUGCUUAAGUGGUGAAAGUUUAAUAGAGCUAAGCCAAGACUCGAGCUCCCAAUGGAAACUGAUGAUGCUCCUGGGAUAUAUAAUGAAAUACCGGAUCUCACGAGAAGUUUAAACACCAUCAUAUCUGUUGAGAUGUGCAAAGUUUCUCAGAAAUACAUUGAUCUCCAGAUUGCUAUACCUGCUCUCCUCCAACAGGAGAGUACAGGUGCUUGCAAAAACAAAUUAAUGGGCAUUGAGAAAUUCAAAGGUUCUGAAAUAUGGGGAUAUACUGAACUUGAUUUCAAGUAGCCGUUUUGGGUAUUCUUACGACAAAAAGGUAAAUGAAAUCCUCUUGAUGUUACGAGAAGCAACAUUCACUUCAAGCUCUCAGAUUCAUCCAUCUCUAUUCGCUUCACCAAUCUUACAAAGUUUGCUGAAAUUACCACUCCACCCACUGCAAUUCCCAUGGAGCUCUUUUGGUUCCAAAACUACAGACCGUUGAUAUCAUUGGCAAAUACAAAUACUUAGUUGCCGGGGGUUCGAACCGCUGGCCAGCCAAUUGGGGUAUCUAAUUCCCUAUAGUACCAAAUGGUCCGCCUCGCGCCGAGGGGUUGGCCCCUGGGGGUGGAAGUCCCUCCAGGUUAAUCAAAAAAAAAAAAAAAAACAUCAUAGGGGUUGUUUAGUCUUACUAACUUAGAAUGUGUCAAGCAUUGCUUGAAUCUGUUCUUCUCUCUCCUUUCCACUUUAGGAUUUUUAAAAAAAAACUGCCCUUUGCUAGAUAAAAAAAUGUACCAUUUUUAUGAUGAGAUAGGAACAAAAAAAUGUACUCAUCGUCUUGUAGAUUGAGAAAACUGUCCUUUUUAUGUUGGAACAACAAGGGUUGCUCGCAGGAAAACUAGCCACACUGAGGGAACGCAUGAUGAUGUACUUGCACAGCCAGACAUAUCAAAAUUGUUCACCUACGAGAAUCAUACAGAGAUGUUGGAAGAGAUCUUCUACAGCUUCUGGUAUUCGUUGAGUUGAACGCCAUUGGUCUGCGCAAGAUAUUUAAGAAAUUUGGCAAACGCUUUGGUUAAGAUUCGCCGACUACUAUGUGUAAGCCCGUGUUUUUUUGACGUCCAAGCCAGCCAACUUCACGACGGCGGUGGGUGUGGAGCCAGCAUUACCAAAAUCGAAGACUGCAACAAUUAAAAGAAAAUGAUGACAUGAGAACGUUCAUCUAUACGGCUAUCGAUGCUGGACCAAAAGGCCCACCUAGGCUUUUGCGAAGGUUGUAAGACAUUCACCUGUGUUUUAUAGAACCAAGGGGAAUGAUAUCAGACAAGAAUUAAAAAAAUAUAUAAUAGACAAGAAUAUGUAUUAUAGAAUAACGUUCACCUUAAACAACUCAUUGUCUUUACUUUCUAUUUCUUGAGAGGUCCAAGUUGAUGAAUCAGUGACUGAAAGAAUUUUAUUCA